rnacentral:tmRNA from 1 species
GGGGAUGACAGGCUUCGACGGGAGAGGCUGGUCCCGGAAUGCGAGCCGAGAGGCGCCGAACUCGUAAACUCAGCGCAAACAAUCAAGUGCCAAUCGCACUUCCUACGCUGCUAUGCCCCUCGCCGCUUAAUGCGAUGAGACCAUAACAGUUGGCGUCUUAGGAUGCCACGUCCGCCGGAGCCGUCCUCCACCCGGUGACGGACCGGGCGAAACAAUGGUGUGAGUGCCGCGUAUGACUCUGCUCAAUGCGCGAAAGACCAGCAGAUGGUCACAGGGUUACCUGCCCGCCGAGAUCCCUGUGAUGAAAAAAUUCGGCAGGCUACGCUCGUAGAUUUCCGAGGGUCGAGUCUUUCGGACCCGGGUUCAAUUCCCGGCAUCUCCACUC